AAGAGAACAUCGAUGCAGCCCCUAACCAGCAGCGCGGUGUGAAGUGCAGCAUGGUGACCCCGAAAAGUUAACGGCCCCUGGAGAUGCACUGCCACGUCCUAAGCGAGCAUAAAGCAUUCGGACUAAGAGAUUUUAAAUUCAUUUAAGACAUAAGGACAGUGCUCAUCAGAGAGCCUGGCUGCCUGCAUGAGGAGUGAGAAUAUUUUGCAGCGUGUCAGCUCUCAGCUAAGGCAAGCACGUGAUGGCUUUCAGGAGCUCCAUCACUUUUCAGUUAAACAGACCCGAAAUGGUAUAUCAGUCUGCUUAACAGAUACAGCAAUGUAAAACCAGUUCAAUUUCAAUGUAAAAUUAAUUGAGGGGGUAAUUUUUGAAGUCAUUCUUCCAAGAUAUAUAACCGCCGGGAAGCAGUCGUCUCCACACGAGCUCCCCCACUACAGCCGAUGCAGGUACCUGCUGCUUGCAAGGCGCACGUCUCCUCGAAAUCGGGAGCUUUCCUCCAAAACCCAUCCUUCACUGCUCUCCAUCCUGCUCAGCAUCACUGCGUGCCUUGAGCCCCUCCAUCACUGACCUACUCCGACUUAGCAGCUGUUCCUCAGUGACCUGGAAAAGCUCCAAAACCUCCAGGACUGGCAGCAAUGCCCAUGGGGGAUGCAGCCCCGUUGUCGGCCAGGCCAGAAAGCACGUGUCCAUCCACAUGUGAGUUUUGUCGGCCUCUGGGUGCCACCAGACCACAGCGAUGCUGUUGGAGAGCACAAAAGGAAGACCCUGAGAUGUGUUUAAUGCAAGAACAUGGACUCUUUCUCCCUGAUCUUUGUGGGUCUUAAAAUGCACUGACAACGUCGUAGGGGUCGGUUCAUGGUUCCCAACGAGGGCACCAGUGAAGAUUGGGGCAGGAAGCAAAUCCCAACACCCCAGCCAAGCUUGGCCAUGCAAAAACCCGCGACAUCAUGCCAUAGCUGCCACGGGAGCAGGGGCUGGCCGAUGGCAAUGACCUGGACUGGUGCUCCUCUGGGGCCACGGGAUUAACAGUCAGGUUCUUGUACGAAGUGUCGGUAAACCUAUACCCUCCCCAUAAAUACUCAACAACAUUUUAGGAACUUAAUUUAUUUUCCUCCUCUCUUUUUUUCUUUUUUUUUUUCUUUCCCCCCCUUGUGAUUUGCAUUAUCAGUUGUUAAAUGGAUUAUGGCACACUUUCCCCCCAUUCACAGCUUCAAAGCCCUCCCCUGUAGCAGUUUUGCAGGUAAUUCACUACUUGAUUGUACAACUCCAGCACGUAUUGCCAGCUGCAGGAGUUUUAUUUCAGACCAAAUCACCAUCCUUUUGGAAGUUAAUACCCAUUAUUUUCCUCUAGUGGAGUUUCAUCUCCUCUAUAGCAGCAGAAGGAAAAUAUUUCUGUCUAUCUGGAGGCAUUAGGUGGAGACCUGCGUAACGGAGACAUCCCAGUGCUGCCCCUUAAUCUCUCCAUUGGCGCUGAGGUCAUUCAGAAAAUAGGAGUUUUCACUCUGCUCAUCUCUGCUCUUGAGGUCAACUUGGCGUUUGUGGAAAAACAGUAUUCUGUGAGUUUUCAUUCAUCCAUUCCCCCGUGUAGUGGUCAGGCUUUUCUCCUCUUACCUCAGGUGUAAAAUGGCAGCCACGACGUUCCUGUGACCAAAGACCUCCGGAGAGGCCCAGCUAAAGAAACCACGGAGCCACAAUGGCACGUUUUAACUUUUGCCAUUAGUCUUGAGCGAUCCCCUCCCUCUCACACUGGGCCUGUUAUUGCAAUAUGCUUCAAUAUACAAAAUGCUUCAAUUAAAUCCUCUCCAACAGUUCCCUUGUUAGGCUAAAUAAAAGCCAGCUUUCUUCCUUAUGUCCCACUAAGAUCUCCAAUCAUCUCCAUUGUGUUUCUCUUGGCAUCCUUAAUAUUAUCAGUAUGCAGCCAGAACAGAAAUUGCUGGCUUUAUGAUCAGCUUUAAUAACAAGUGUUUAAUAAUUGCAGGUAUAAUUAUUCACAACACUGACAAAUUUUCCUAUUCACCACUAAUUUCUUCAAAUUGCUCAAGGCAUAAAGCAAAAAUUGACUAGUUAGAAAGACAUUCAUUCCUAAUCAAGUUUUGUUGCUGUUGUUUAAGGAACAAAAUUUUAAACCCCGGCAUUCCAAUGAGAUUUCAUUACAACAAAUGAAAAAUAAAGAUAACGGUGGCUUACUGCUCUAUACUAUGCACAGAUGCUUCUGAUUUUGGUUAGGAACAUUAAUACCCAAGCUCUGUUGGGGUGCGCCUGCACUGAUAAGGCAUGACAGGCGCCAACAGUGUAUUUCCUCAGCCUGUUUUUAUCUAUUCAAGUGUUUUGAUUAUUGCUACAAGACCGAAACACAGGGCAAUAUCAUGAAACCCCAAGGAAGGGCUUGGCACCGGCUGCCACCCGUCCUGCUGGGGAGGUCACAGCCUCACAUGAUGGCUGAGGCUGGCAGGAGCCUCGGGGUCCUUCUGCUCCAAGCCCUGCCCCAGCAGGGCCACCCUGAGCAGGGUGUCACCAGAACCACAGCGCACACAGGAGGGACACACAGCAUCAUGCUUACUGUGAGGAAGGAGCAGCUACAAGGCAUUAUGGAAGAGCUACACCCCUUCCUCUGUGCUAGCUUGUCCAUGGCACCCUUCCCUACAUGCUGUACCUCAGCAGAAGCCACGCCAAGUCCAGCUCCUGUAGUGCACGCGGAGAAGCUGUGUGGGGCAAUCCUGGCUUUGGGCCGGGUGGUAGGGGUGGCCUCUUGUGCCAGGUACAGGUGAUGCAGCUGUUGUGUAUGGCCGAGGAGAAAUGUAACUCCAGCCCUGGGUCUCAUCCCUGUCUAGAAACGAGCCAAAGCUUCCACAAACCAGGCUUGCCAUAGUGACAGCCUAAAACUCCUCACAAGUUUUGGAUCUAAGCUAAAACAGACACGUUUUUCUAUAAUGUUGAUCUGCAUUGCAUCCUAGUCUGGUUAAUCUUUGUCCUCAGCAUCAGUAUGAGGUGAGUGGGGCACCUGGGACCCGCCACACAAGCCCAGGACAGCAUUUCCUAGCCCAGAAGCACAACACGUUGUCCCCGGAGUCUCUCAGACAGAAUACUAAGGAUAUACGCAAGGACACUGGAGAUAUUUGCCAAUUCAAACGUACAGAGGGCAGGGAUUUGAAGGAGACUUAAGGAGGAACCUGCGGUAGAGAAAAUAUUCAACUUGGCACCUUCAGAUGCUUUAUAAAGUGAUGGGCACCACGCGAGGAGUCGUUCCUGGAGCCUGGCCACCACAGCACAGUGUUCCCUGCCACCAGCGUGCCACUGUGGCAGGCAGGGGUCAGGGCAGAGAUGUCAGCGGGAGAAACUCUCCCUAAAGGAAAUGCAGGAUAAACCACAGAGAAAGGGGGCAGAGGUCCUCCUCCUCCUCUUCCUCCUGAAGGAUCCCUCAGCAGGAGAUGAAAGUGAAUGUUGUGCGCUGACCAGGAAACAAGUGUCCCCAUAAAGAGUUGAAAUGUGAUUAAAAUUGAUGUC